UACGUAGGGUGCGAGUGUUGUCCGGAAUUACUGGGCGUAAAGAGCUCGUAGGUGGUUUGUCGCGUCGUCUGUGAAAUUCCGGGGCUUAACUCCGGGCGUGCAGGCGAUACGGGCAAUACUUGAGUGCUGUAGGGGAGACUGGAAUUCCUGGUGUAGCGGUGAAAUGCGCAGAUAUCAGGAGGAACACCAAUGCCGAAGGCAGGUCUCUGGGCAGUAACUGACGCUGAGGAGCGAAAGCAUGGGGAGCGAACAGGAUUAGAUA
rnacentral:rRNA from 1 species